rnacentral:lncRNA from 1 species
UGAUGCAGACCAGAAAUUAAAAAUAACAUACUCUAAGACACCUUCUAAUAUGCCCCUACAAAUGUCUCAACCUCUAACACGUUUGGGGCUAAAGAGGCAUAUAGAGGAAUGACUCUAGCAACGUGUCUCUAUUGGAAGGUUUUGUUGUAGUGUGACUCUGUAUUUGCCUCCCUAUAAAGAUUCCUCUUCAUACUGAGUUGCUCACUCCAACAGACUCCCCCACUCUGCAAAUCCCAACAGCUACCUUCAACUCUCCCUUUUCACACACACGGACGCAUAGAUCCCACGCAUCAUCCCCUUCCUUCCCCUUC